GAUGAACGCUGGCGGCGUGCCUAAUACAUGCAAGUCGAGCGAACGGACGAGAAGCUUGCUUCUCUGAUGUUAGCGGCGGACGGGUGAGUAACACGUGGAUAACCUACCUAUAAGACUGGGAUAACUUCGGGAAACCGGAGCUAAUACCGGAUAAUAUUUUGAACCGCAUGGUUCAAAAUUGAAAGACGGUCUUGCUGUCACUUAUAGAUGGAUCCGCGCUGCAUUAGCUAGUUGGUAAGGUAACGGCUUACCAAGGCAACGAUGCAUAGCCGACCUGAGAGGGUGAUCGGCCACACUGGGACUGAGACACGGUCCAGACUCCUACGGAAGGCAGCAGUAGGGAAUCUUCCGCAAUGGGAGAAAGCCUGACGGAGCAACGCCGCGUGAGUGAUGAAGGUCUGCGGAUCGUAAAACUCUGUUAUUAGGGAAGAACAAAUGUGUAAGUAACUGUGCACAUCUUGACGGUACCUAAUCAGAAAGCCACGGCUAACUACGUG
rnacentral:rRNA from 1 species